rnacentral:rRNA from 1 species
GGCUUGUUGAUAAUAAUUUUAAGUCAGGCCUGCCCUAUGAGGUUUUGAAUGGCUGCGGUAUAUUGACCGUACAAAGGUAGCAUAAUCAUUAGUUUUUUAAUUGAAAGCUGGCAUGAAAGGUUGAAUGAGAAAAUAGCUGUCUCUGUAAAAUUUUGUUAGAAUUUUAUUUUUAAGUGAAAAAGCUUGGAUUUAAGUAGAAGACGAGAAGACCCUAUAGAGUUUUAUAUUUGCGCGUGUGGGGUAUUUGUGGGAUUUGUAAUAUUUUACUAGUGGGAUUAUUUUGUUGGGGUGACAGAAAAACUAAUUUAACUUUUUAUUUAUAGGAACAUUGAUUUAUGAAUAGUGGAGCCUGGGAAUUAAGACCAGAAGAUUAAAUUACCUUAGGGAUAACAGCGUAAUAUUUCUUAGAGUUCUUAUCGAAAGGAAGGAUUGCGACCUCGAUGUUGGAUUAAAAUAAAUUGUUGGUGUAGGUGCUUGCUAAUUAGGUCUGUUCGACCUUUAAAAUUUUACAUGAUCUGAGUUUAGACCGGCGUGAG